ACGAACGCUGGCGGCGUGCUUAACACAUGCCAGUCGAACGGAAAGGCCCUGCUUUUGUGGGGUGCUCGAGUGGCGAACGGGUGAGUAACACGUGAGUAACCUGCCCUUGACUUUGGGAUAACUUCAGGAAACUGGGGCUAAUACCGGAUAGGAGCUCCUGCUGCAUGGUGGGGGUUGGAAAGUUUCGGCGGUUGGGGAUGGACUCGCGGCUUAUCAGCUUGUUGGUGGGGUAGUGGCUUACCAAGGCUUUGACGGGUAGCCGGCCUGAGAGGGUGACCGGCCACAUUGGGACGGAGAUACGGCCCAGACUCCUACGGGAGGCAGCAGUGGGGAAUAUUGCACAAUGGGCGGAAGCCUGAUGCAGAAACGCCGCGUGCGGGAUGACGGCCUUCGGGUUGUAAACCGCUUUCGCCUGUGACGAAGCGUGAGUGACGGUAAUGGGUAAAGAAGCACCGGCUAACUACGU
rnacentral:rRNA from 1 species